GAUGAAGAACGUAGCGAAAUGCGAUAAGUAGUGUGAAUUGCAGAAUUCAGUGAAUCAUCGAAUCUUUGAACGCACAUUGCGCCCGCCAGUAUUCUGGCGGGCAUGCCUGUCCGAGCGUCAUUUCAACCCUCGAACCCCUCCGGGGGUCCGGCGUUGGGGAUCGGGAACCCCUAAGACGGGAUCCCGGCCCCGAAAUACAGUGGCGGUCUCGCCGCAGCCUCUCAUGCGCAGUAGUUUGCACAACUCGCACCGGGAGCGCGGCGCGUCCACGUCCGUAAAACACCCAACUUCUGAAAUGUUGACCUCGGAUCAGGUAGGAAUACCCGCUGAACUUAAGCAUAUCAAUAAGCGGAGGA
rnacentral:misc_RNA from 1 species